AUAUUUGAUACAUAAUUUGUUUAACCUUAUAAAUAUUAUUUUUUGUCCAAAUAUUCAUUAUAUCUCUUUGGUAAUGUGUCUAGAAACACUUCAGUGAUAUUUUUUAGCCACAAGUUUUGCCAUACUGUUGUUAGUGUAAUCUAUGGUGCUGUUGUUUUCCAUAGCAGCCAUCUUGUGAAGAAUACUCUCAAAUUGACUGAGUUGAUAUUCGCCAAACAAAGAUGAGUCGUGUGCCAGAUAAAGAACGUAGCAGUUCUGCCUGACAGUUCACAAGACGAUAAUUUUGACGAUAGUGAUGAUGACAGAGACUGGAUUGCUAACCACAGUGAAUGUUCUACAGGUCACCAAAACUAUUUGUUGUAUUUUGACAAUUGGUUUUCAUCACCGGGCUUACUUGUAACACUCGGAAAGCUUGGAAUUGGAUCUCUCAGUACCUACUGUGAGACUAAACAGAUACUCUGGUCUAUCUUUUUUCCAGUGACAAGGAAAUGAAAAAGAAAGGAAGAGGUUGCAUUGAAGAGAAAGAAACAAACAUUGAUGAUAUUGAUAUCAGAGCAGUAAAAUGGUGCGAUAAUCGUUGUGUAGUAGUUUGCUCAACUUUCAAAUCUGCAUAUUAUCCUGUUAGCAAUGUGAAAAGAUAUGACAGCAAACAGAAGGCUUCAACUGAAGUUUCAUGUCCUAGAGCAGUUACCACAUACAAUAAAUUCAUGGGAGGUGUGGACCUAAUGGAUGCUCUAAUAGCAUAUUACAGAAUUCAAAUCCGCUCAAAGAAAUUAUACUUGCGUUUCUUUUUUCACUUUAUUGACCUUGUGCUUGUCAACUAAUGGCUUUUGUACAGAAGUGACUGCAACUCCCAAAAUCUUUGCAAAAA